rnacentral:rRNA from 1 species
GACGAACGCUGGCGGCGUGCCUAAUACAUGCAAGUCGAGCGCUGAAGCAGGAGCUUGCUUCCCCUGAUGAUUUGCGAACGCGUGAGUAACGCGUAGGGAACCUGCCUGUUAGCGGGGGGUAACUAUUGGAAACGAUAGCUAAUACCGCAGAAGAUUAAAUGUUCCAUGACAUUUGCUUAAAAGAUGCAAUUUUAUCACUACUAGAUGGUCCUGCGCUGCAGUAGCUAGUAGGUGGUGGAACGGCUGACUAAGGCGACGAUACAUAGCCGACCUGAGAGGGGGAUCGGACACACUGGAACUGAGACACGGUCCAGAGUCCUACGGGAGGCAGCAGUAGGGAAUCUUACGCAAUGGGCGAAAGCCUGACGGAGCAACGCCGCGGGAGUGAUGAAGGACUUCGGAUCGUAAAACGCUGUUAAUAGGGAAGAACAAAGGUGUAAGUAACUAUGCACGUCUUGACGGUACCUAAUCAGAAAGCCACGGCUAACUACGUG